AAAUAGUCAUACAACUGACGGAAGUGGAAUAACCACAUGAAGUAUGAUGUAUUUUAAGCCGACCGUCUGGGCAAUUUUG
rnacentral:ncRNA from 2 species